rnacentral:rRNA from 1 species
GGGGGGGGGGGGGGGGGGGGCGGGGGCGUGGGGGGGGGGCGAGCGGGCGAGGGGCUUGCUCCUCUGGGGUUGGCGGCGGGCGGGUGGGUGGGCCGUUGGUAGGCUGCCUCUGAGACUGGGGUAACUUCGGGCACCCGGCGGUCGUGCGGGGUAAUAUUUUUAACCGCAUGGUUCCAGAGCUACGGCCGUUUUUGCUUUCACCUGUAGAUGGACCCGCGCCGCAUUAGCGAGUUGGUAAGUGAACGGCUUACCAAGGCUACGAUGCGUAGCCCACCUGAGAGGGUGAUCGGCCACACUGGAACUGAGACACGGUCCAGACUCCGACGGGAGGCAGCAGUAGGGAAUCUUCCGCAAUGGGCGAAAGCUUGACGGAGCAACGCCGCGUGAGUGAUGAAGGUCUUCGGAUCGUAAAACUCUGUUAUUAGGGAAGAACAAAUGUGUAAGUAACGAUGCACGUCUUGACGGUACCUAAUCAGAAAGCCACGGCUAACUACGUG